CCUACGGGUGGCAGCAGUGAGGAAUAUUGGUCAAUGGGCGGGAGCCUGAACCAGCCAAGCCGCGUGAAGGAAGAAGGCGCCAGGCGUCGUAAACUUCUUUUGUCGGGGAACAAAGGGCGCCACGCGUGGCGUUGUGAGUGUACCCGAAGAAAAAGCAUCGGCUAACUCCGUGCCAGCAGCCGCGGUAAUACGGAGGAUCCAAGCGUUAUCCGGAUUUAUUGGGUUUAAAGGGUGCGUAGGCGGUUUGAUAAGUUAGAGGUGAAAUACCGGUGCUCAACACCGGAACUGCCUCUAAUACUGUUGAACUAGAGAGUAGUUGCGGUAGGCGGAAUGUAUGGUGUAGCGGUGAAAUGCUUAGAGAUCAUACAGAACUCCGAUUGCGAAGGCAGCUUACUAAACUGCCACUGACAUUGAUGCUCGAAAGUGUGGGUAUCAAACAGGAUUAGAUACCCCUGUAGUC
rnacentral:rRNA from 1 species